GAGACAGGAGCUUGGACGUGCUUCUGUGUUUUCCUCCCUCUCCUCUCACACAUAUAUGUGUCUAAUAUUUUUGGCACAGGCUAAAGAAGUCAACGGGUGACAAUGUGGGAGCGUUGGGUAACAAUCUGAAAAUGCAAUUCUUUUUUUUUCCAGAUAAAUUGUGAUGUGCUUAAAAGCGCUGGUCUGGAUGAUGUUUUUUAAUUCCAAGUAUUGUGCUAUGUGAGAAAUAUACAUAGUUGGGAAAAGUUUAUAGUUUGACAUGAGAUCCAAGUUUUUUUUUUAAGGAAUUAAUUGGAUUUUUUUUCUUAUGUUGUGGCUUAAGAAAUGGAUUCAGCCUGCAGCGGCAGCGUAGAAGAACAUGCAGCUACUGCUCAUGUUUGCUAAUGUUAGCUGGAGGUGAAGAAGGGAAUCUGAGACUGUGAAGUGUUGCUAUCUGGAUAGUUUGCUGAAAGUUUUCAGACUCAGCUUGGGGAUUUUCUACCUGUCUGUUAGUUUAAUCAGUUGACUGGGACUGUUUGUUUUUUUGUUUUUUUUUUUAAAUCUGUGAUUAAUAACUCUGCUCUGACAAAAGCUCUCACAGACUUGACAACUCUGGCAGAGACAAUUUUAUUGGUUUGAGCAGAGUGGGUAGCCAGCCUCCAGUAAAUAGCAUGAUUAGGCUGAAAGAUAAAAACAAGAUAUGGCUGUGUUGUGAGGGUUUUCCAAAAAGUGAUGUCUGCAUCGAUUCAGACAGCCUAAAUUGUGACAAAAGCCGUACCUGAAUCGAUGCAGUGCUGUUGAAUUUAAACCAGCCGUGCACGUGAUUUGAUGGAUGCCCCUCUAGUGAACAUGCUGAAGUUGUCAGGUUGUGUCCAAGUUCAUCAAAAUCAGUGCCUGUAAAGAUGCCAUUUACGUUAAAAUGCUGUAUUUUUGCAGUUAAUCAGUAUAAUAAUAAAGGAUUGGAUUUAUAUAGCGCUUUUCAAGGGACCCAAAGCGAUUUACAAUGCCACCAUUCAUUCACACACUGGUGGAGGCAAGCUACGGUUGUAGCCACAGCUGCCCUGGGGCAGGCUG
ensembl:lncRNA